AACAGAGACUGUGCGAGGGAGGGUGGCUUCUCCUCACCUCCCUUGCUGGUUUAUGAUGAAAAUGGCUCAGUAGGCUGUGACCCUUGCCUCUAGAGGAAGAAGGGGUUCGUAGACGGUCACAGUGAACCUCUGAGGCUAGCGAAAUCUGCCAGGAACUGCGGGACCCACUGAGAUAAGGAUUGGGUAGAGGCAGUUUCCUUUCUUGUGGAUCACAAAGUAUUGAGUAGAAGCUCUUCCUCAGAAACUUCCGAGGAACUCGCUCGGAUAGGAGGCACCUGACAACUCUUCAAGAAGGUCUCAUGAGAAGGAUCCUGGAAAAGGAUUGGGAAAGGAAGAACAAUGCUAUGGCAGCAGAGUGCCUGGUACCAAAAAGGAGUGAGCUGCUGAUGGAGCCACUUCCCCUUCAGUCCAGUGAACUCAGAGCACCUGUGCACAUUUUGACAUUGGUGACAACUCUCAGUACCAAGGACAACUCCCGAAGUUAAGAAGGUGCUGAUCAUAGCAAGGCCUUUGAAGAUCCAGUGCCUUUCUGGAUGUUGGUGCCAAAGACAGCAACAACUUGGAAUUCAGCAGGUAAAAGACGAAGGCCCACCAAACACUAAGGGAGUGGAGUCUUUGUUCAUCUGCAGAAGCAUGCAGUUUUGGGAAGAUCAGAGAGCCCAUUUCUUGGUUGGGUAACUGUCACCGAAACAGAAAAAGGGUUUAACCCUUGGUGAAUGGACUCCUGGAUUAGCAAGAUAUCAUUAUCUAGUGGAAAAGCCUGACUGAGGUUCUGGGUCCCCAUUGGAACAAAAUUAGGUAAAGACCUGAAGAGUUUACCAAGCCUGAAAAUUCCAAAUUGUGGUGCUGUAGCCUUAAGCUUCCCAGUAAUUCCCAGGAUGUGUGAGGAUAUUGCCUUGUUGAAAGCUGAUCAUUUCUUUAUAACUCUUUAAAGGAAUUCUAUUAACUUCAUCUCACUAAAAGCAGCUUCAAUGAGAUUUGCCUCUGGAAGUGGUAUCCAGACAGACCUCCAGGAUAAGAUUCUACAUAAAGAAGUAUUGCAAAAAAGAACAGAAAAUCUGGUCGUCUUAUGAGGCUCCAUUUUGGAAGCACUAGUUGCAACCUUGUAGCUAAAGCUGAAUUCUAUUUUGCAUAUAAGGAUUAAACCUUUGCUUUGCAUAAAAUAUAGUAUCCAGUAUUAAACCUGGAACAGCUGAUAUGAGAUUUGAUGAAUAAAGAAUUAAAGAAAGGUAACAUAAUGCCAAUGAACAUAGGUAUAUGGAAAACAGACAUCGUGAAACUAAUUUGGUAUUUUUUUUUUAAAUGAGAUGACAAGUUUAAUUGAUAAAGGUAAUUGUUUUGAUGUAAUAUACUCAGUCUUCUCUAAGGUAUUUGAUUUGGUACUGCAUGACAUUUUGAUUAAAAAUGCUAGAAUGAUAUAAAAUUAAUAUCACAGUAAAUAGAUUAAAAGCUGGCUAAAUGAUAGGUCUCAAAGUGUACUGUAAAUGGGGAAUCAUCAUUGAGUGGGUGUGCUCCUAGUGGGGUCAUGGAAGGAUCUGUUUUUGACCCUAUGCUAUUUAAACAUUUUUAUUAAUGACCUAAAAGAAAAAACAAAAUCAUCAAUUAUAAAGUUUGCAGACGACAAAAAUUGGGGAAGUGGUAAAUAAUGAAGAGGACUAGAGCAAUCUCAAUUGGUUGGUAAACUGGAUUCAAGCAAAUAUGUAUUUUAAUACACCUAUAACUGUAUACAUCUAGGAAUGAAGAAUGUAGGCCAUUACAUGAUGUGGGACUCUACUCUGGGAAACAGUGACUCUGAAAAAGAUUGAGGGGUCAUGGUGAAUAAUCAACUGACCAUGAGUUCCCAGUGUGACUCUGUAGCCCAAAAGGGUUAAUGUGUUCAUUAGAUGCACAUAAACAGGGGAAUCUCAAAUAGAAAUAGAGAGGUUAUUUUACCUCUGUAUUUGGCAUUGGUGUGAUUGCUGCUGGAAUAUUGUGUUGAGUUCUGGCAUCCACAAUUCAGGAAGGAUGCUGAAAAAUUGGAGUGAAAUCAGGUAAUAGUCUUUGGAAUAAUAAAAGGAUUAGACAACAUGUCUUAUUGUGAUAUAUUGAGCUCUUUGAGUCUAUUUAGUUUAAAAAGGUUAAGGGAUGAAUUGAUUGCAAUCAAUAAGUACCUAGAUGGGGACAGGUAUAACACAAUCCAAUGUCUAGAAGUUAACGCUAGACAAAAAAUUAAACUGGAAAUAAGGCAUAAAUGUUUAACAGUCACAGUCAUUAACUAUUGGAAAAACAUACCAAGGGGUGUCAUUUUUAAAUCACGAUUGGAUGUUUGGUCCCUUCUGGCUUGGAAUCUAUGAAACUUACAGCAUUUAUUCUGAAUUUGAACGGAAUAUCUGAGAAUUUACAGGUAAAUCCUUUAGUUUAUAAAUUAAAAUUAAUGUAAAAUUUGGUCCCCUUUGACACAGAUGCUAAAUUUUAGUCUUUGUUCCAAAUUUUCUUAACAAUAGAAUAAAAGACACUUCAAAAUUUCCACAAUGAAAGUUAAUUAAAAUGUUAUGCAUAGACUAUAUCUGAAACUUAAUUAAGACUUGAUGGCUAAGUUAUUAACAGCUGUUAUAUCUCAAUGUUAUGAUUAUAUACGAUGCAGACAGAUUCAGAUCAACAGCUCAGAUAACCCCUAAGUGAGGCCACUGUGACUAGAGCGGAGAGAAAUUUUUUGGCUGAAACUUUUUUCACCAACAAAAGGCAGAUUUUGUGACACAAACAUUUCAUGAAUAUUUUGCUGAAUUGUUUGUGUAAAAAAAACAAAUGCUGAAAAAGUCAGCGUUUUGUUUUGACAUUUUCUAAAUGAAACAUUUUUAGUUCAAAAUGACAUUUGGAUUGUUUUUAAAAUAAAUAAACUGAAGGAAUUUCAAAACAAAAAAUGCUCAAAAUCUACAUGAAACAUUGCACUUGAACUGAACUUUUACAUACUUUUUUAGAAUUGUCAGUGAAUAAAAAAAAUAAAAAUCUAUUCUUCACGCAGGUCUAACUGUGAUAUCACAGCUAAUUUGCAUGAACAAUUUUUUUCAUAUUGACUCAGUAAUAUGAGGGAGAUUAGACAUACGUCAAGAGUUCUCAUUGGUAGAUUACCUAGCUUAACUGUAUUUUAUAUGAAGAAUCCAUAGCGGCAAUGUAGUUUGGGUAUCAGUGCUUGACAGGAUCCCAGUGGCACUGCACUCUCAGUUUCACUGCAUUUCACAGACAUCAGGACUCAGCAAUCAGGCUCCCCUGCUCCCUUCUUCAGAUAGCAACAGUCUCAAUAAGUCAAUGCAAAUUAAAGGUCAGAUUCACCAAUAUGCUUCAGAUGCUUUACCUACUCUGGUGAUUCAAAGUAGCCGUAAAUCUAGCAUAACUGGUGCACGCUGACUACUUUGGCAUACCAGUGAAGCUGCUUUUUAACAGCUAUUUUUUAUUAAAGAAAUUGAUUUAAGGCUAAUAUGAUGUAUUUUACAAUAAUUAGAUGUGACAUGGUAGAAUUUUCUAUUUUUUGUUUUGUGUUCAUGUAUAAACGUUUUCAUAAUAAUAGUACUAAUACAGGAAAUUCCCAGAGAAAAGACUAUGUUAAAAUGGAUUAAAGCUGAGAGUAUGUACCAAUAGUUUUAGAAUAAAAGUCAUUACAAGGAUGAUGGAAUUAUUGCUGAACCACGCAUUAUAAACCCAGGAAAGUCAGAGUUAAUGUUACACUGAAAAGAAACCUAAAAAUUUUUGUUAAGAUAAGAAAAGCACUCAAAUAACCUUGACUCUACCUUGUGUAGUAGGAAGAGAGCCUGAGACAUGAGCCAUUGUAUCAGAG